CCUACGGGAGGCAGCAGUGAGGAAUAUUGGUCAAUGGCCGUAAGGCUGAACCAGCCAAGUCGCGUGAAGGAAGAAGGAUCUAUGGUUUGUAAACUUCUUUUAUCGGGGAAUAAAGGUAUCCACGUGUGGAUAUUUGCAUGUACCCUAUGAAUAAGCAUCGGCUAACUCCGUGCCAGCAGCCGCGGUAAUACGGAGGAUGCGAGCGUUAUCCGGAUUUAGUGGGUUUAACGGGUGCGUAGGUUGUUUUUUAAGUCAGCGGUGAAAGUUUGUGGCUCAACCAUAAAAUUGCCGUGGAAACUGGAAGACUUGAGUGUGUUUGAGGUAGGCGGAAUGCGUGGUGUAGCGGUGAAAUGCAUAGAUAUCACGCAGAACUCCGAUUGCGAAGGCAGCUUACUAAGCCAUAACUGACACUGAAGCACGAAAGCGUGGGGAUCAAACAGGAUUAGAUACCCCAGUAGUC
rnacentral:rRNA from 1 species